GAUGAACGCUGGCGGCGUGCCUAAUACAUGCAAGUCGAGCGAACGGACGAGAAGCUUGCUUCUCUGAUGUUAGCGGCGGACGGGUGAGUAACACGUGGAUAACCUACCUAUAAGACUGGGAUAACUUCGGGAAACCGGAGCUAAUACCGGAUAAUAUUUUGAACCGCAUAGUUCAAAAGUGAAAGACGGUCUUGCUGUCACUUAUAGAUGGAUCCGCGCUGCAUUAGCUAGUUGGUAAGGUAACGGCUUACCAAGGCAACGAUGCAUAGCCGACCUGAGAGGGUGAUCGGCCACACUGGAACUGAGACACGGUCCAGACUCCUACGGGAGGCAGCAGUAGGGAAUCUUCCGCAAUGGGCGAAAGCCUGACGGAGCAACGCCGCGUGAGUGAUGAAGGUCUUCGGAUCGUAAAACUCUGUUAUUAGGGAAGAACAUAUGUGUAAGUAACUGUGCACAUCUUGACGGUACCUAAUCAGAAAGCCACGGCUAACUACGU
rnacentral:rRNA from 1 species